AGAUGUGGGAAGAUUUCCCUCUUCUUCAGGUCAAGGAAAAGCACCAAGCUUCAAACUGCGACCCCUCAUCCCGUGGUGGACAAGGCCCUUCAGGAAUGGUGAAUGGAAACGACUGUAUAGUCAUCCCAGCAACUGGUCUGUUCAAGUCCAAAAUUCCUCCUGGGAGAGAUCAUUUUGCAGGGACUACAUCAAAUGUUGUGCAGCUUCCCUGGGCAGGAUUUGCAGCCAUUCUGGAAUGAAAGCUUCCUGAAAGGAAUCUAUUUCCCUGUGGGACUGCCCAGCUUUCAGCCCUGCUUCUGGGGGAAGAGUUCAUCACAGGACACCUCGUGUAUCUGCUCCGGUUUGAAACCAAACAUACUGAGAAAUGUUGAGAAACCCCGGUCCCAGCCAUCACCCACUGCUGGAGCCUGUGGGGCUGAGCUGGACCCCCGGGAGGAGCACUCUGUGCCAAUGCCCUGCCCUAAGGAAUCAAAUCCCAUCUCACCAUCCUGGCAGAAUGGAUUAAAAUGAACCACAGUGUGUUUGUGCUCAGAAACCUGCCCUGGUGUCCUCUGGCUGCUGGAGAAAAAAAGACUUGCAGGGGAGUAAAACUGUUUAGAGUGCAAUUCUCCUGGACAGAAGCAGCUGGAAUCUUUGUGUUAACUCUGAGGAAUGGAAGCCCCAAGGCACACAGUUCUUGCUUUAUUAACUGGGGACGUAGUUUAAAGGAAAAUUUCACCUUUCCCAUCAUUAAGGAAGAUGAAGGAGGGCAGCAUGACAAUGGUCUGCACCACAUGCCCCCUGCUCAGACACAUAAUGGGGCUGGGGAGGCUUUUCUGUGGAAACACUCUGGUCCUGGA